UCUCUAAUCCACGCGAAACCACGCGAACCCACGCGGCUCGAAACCCUCGUCCAGCGACUCAGGGAAUCGCUCGUCCCCGCACGCCGCCAGCGAGAGGAAGAGACGACGCCGCCGCCACCACCGAGGGGAAGAGCCCCGCCUCCGCCACCGAGGGGAAGAGCCCCGCCGGCGAGAGGAGGAGCCCCCACGCCGCCGCCCGACUCUGCCCGACGCCGGCGUUACUCCUCCAGCGUACUGGCCUUCUCCCCGGUGGGACCUGAUCUCGCGGAAGACGGGUGACCACUUUGCUGCCACAAGUCUCCUUCACACCGUGUAGCCCGCAAACAUGUCUCGGAGCAUUUGCCGAUCAAAUUUAUGUUGUAAUGAACCAUUGACUUUCGUUGAUUGAACAUCUUGUAUUUUUCAUUUGGACCGUGGCAUGUAUGCAUGUAACAUUUCAUUUGAACAGUUGAUAGUACAUGCAACAGAUUAUACAAGCCUUUUUGUUAUUUUGCAUAAUCUAGUUGCACCAUUGUUGCAAGUACAUUUCUUCUAUGAGCUUUUGAAGCUUUUGAAGUUGUAAAAA